GCCCGGACCGCGGGCCCCGUCUGGACCGGCCAGGCGCCCGGGACUCGCCUCGGCUCGGCCGAACCGUAGCAAACGUCUCUUCCUCCAUGACCUUCGACACUGACAGAGUAGAAGAAACUGAGGCACGGGGAGAGGAAGGCAGCUGAGAAGAGAGGAACGAGAAAUGCUCAGGAAGGCCUUCCCCUCCCCAGUCAGCCUGGGGAGUUACCUGUGACAGCACACACUCAGCAGCCUGGGGAGUUACCUGUGACAGCACACACUCAGCAGCCUGGGGAGUUACCUGUGACAGCACACACUCGGCGGUCUGGUCUCUUCACUAAAACCCUUGUCAUGGAAAGACAUGCUCACACUGAGAGGAGUGAGCUGCUAUGCUGCUGGAGGUAGUCACCACAGGAAGACAAAGUCUAGCUGUGUAGUCCAGGUUCACUUUGCCCUGAAGACCUCCUCUGCUCCCAAGUGUACAUCUGUAGGCAUGUACCCACCAUGCCUAGGUCUUAAGGGUUGCUUUUGAUGAUAAGACACUGGGGCAUGGUGGUACAUGCCCGAAGUCCCAGGACUCAGGAGGCUGAGGCAGAAGAAUGGGGGUUUUGAUGUCAGCUUGAAUCACAUAGUGCUGCCUGUGUCAGUACUUCAGCUGCCCAGUGGUCUUACCCCACACUGGAACCUGAGGUUGCAACUUGGAAGACUCACUCUCCAGGCUGUGAAGGCUAAAGGGGACUAAAUCUAGCCACGCCAAAACGUGAUGCCAUCCUCUCAUUUCUAGAGUACACUUCAGGCCACACACAACCACCCCUCUAACAAUGCUUUAUUAAGUACAUCCCAAGCUGUACACCAAGCCUGCCACUCACCCCAACCAAUAAAUGACCUUUUUCUGAGAUUUUUAAAAAAAAUGUGUACAGGUGUCAGAUUCCUUA